rnacentral:sRNA from 1 species
CCCUAGCCCUGAUUGAAGCGGCAUCCUUUCUCUUUGCUAAAAGAGAAAGAUACAGCGUAAAACAGGACACGAG